GCAUCUUCUUGAUGCGCUCCUUCUCAGAGGACAGCGUGAUGUCGGCACUUUGACUGCGGAACAGCUUGUCCUCUGGCCCGUUAACACACAUGACUGGAGGAGACUGGAGGUCAUCGGAGAGGUCCUAAGGAACACAUCAACGUUGCGGUUGGAGUCAUAGAAGAAGGACACGGUGACGGCAUGCUUGCUCGCAGGGAUCCAGUUCCUCUUGGUGGCCGGAUCGAUCUGGAAGACAUGAGCCCGAGUGCUGAAGAUGGGCUGCUCUCUGGAGGAGAAAGAUACAAGGACGAUGAUGCAAGUGCAGGAGAUACUUGGAUGACUGUCAUGUUCGCUGUGAGCCUCACGGUGUCACAAGAGGAAACAUUUGACCUAAUUCAUCAAGGAUCCUUCUGCUCUUCAUCACCAGCAUGUUGCGUGAAAGAGGCCAAGUAUGACCGUGGUGAAAAACCAGGACGCUUCUUCCUCCUACGUGUGAACUGAUGUUCUCAGGAGAACUGUUUUUUUGUGGCCAGUCAUAAAAGUACAUUUAGAUCUGACCCCAUUAGUGACACAAAAAUCCAAUUGUAUAUCUUCUACUAUGGGAGAUCCCAAUGUAUGAAAGGACCGGCAUUAACUGUCUUUUGUUUCCUUUGGUCUCCAUCAGGCACACAUGCAGACUGUCGUUGGUGUCUACAAAGACUGUAGACAUGGAGAGAGGUAUUUCCGUAGCCAACGCACUGCAGUCUGAUGACCUAUGUUAUAAUUCUCCUUCUCAUCCCACUCUAAUCCUCUCUGUGGUCAGUGGAUCUGCUUUUUGCCCCCCCCUUUAUUGCUCUCAUCUGAUCUGAGGUCUGACUGGACCAACACACACACAUACUACACACACUUGACAAAGUCAGAUUUUCUUCCGAGUUCAUUAAAAACCCCCCAAAAAAAACAAAAAAAAAAACAAAAAAAAAAAAACAACGGUAUUCCCAGCUAAAAGCAAAUCAGUGAUUCUCAACCAGACGGAACCCAAAAAUAUUUUGACUGGGUCAUGGACAGCUCGUCAAAAAUCAUGUUCCAAUAACAUUAAUCCGUUACAGACACCCAAAAUAAAAAUGGACAAAAAAAAAUGGACUAUAUUGUUGAUGGUGACUUCCCGUACUUUCUGGAAGUUCAAUCGAAUUCAACAUUUUCGCCUCGAUAAAAUUGCUGGCACUCAUUACUUUCUUUGGCCCCAUGGCGGGUUAUUUAGCCGUCACCCAUUAACAAAAAUUCACGGACACUGAGUCAGCAAACAAGACUAAUUUGUGAUGUGCAACACUGUACAGAAACUGAGACCGUGGACAAAAUCUGAGGCGACUAAAAUGGUUGACUGUACAGUGGAACCUUGGUUAGCGUCAUGAAUUUGCUCCAGAAAGUCCGACUCUAACCAAAACAAACUUUUUCCCAUAAGAAAUCAUGUAAAUCCAAUUCAUCCAAAUGCAUAUUAAUGAUGGCUGAACGGAAUAAAUGAACAUUUACUUUUACCUUCACUCACUGAAGACGUGAUUUUUGACGUUAGUAUUCCCAAAGACACUACAUGGAUACCAUCUUUCUGUUUUGCCAUGAGUUAUUUCUGGAAUUCUAUAGAAUUUGUCAAUCCCAUAUCACAUAUAGACAAACAACCAUUCACAUUCAUACCUAUGGACCAUUUGGAGUUGCAUGUUUUUGGAAUGUAAACUUCACACAGAAAUGCCUAAACAGAGAAUCGAGAACCCAGGUCUUCCCCAUCUCCUGACUGUGUGGCCAGCAUUCUAACCACUCAACCACCGUACAGCCCUAUUUGAACUGUCAUAUAAGCAAAAAAUAUUUGUCUCAAAGUGAAAGUUCUGCUUGAAUUGUAUCUUUUCACAAAAAGCUGUUUUUUUGUUUUAGUCAGGAACUGAUAUUUUCCUAAAACUUACCUAUGUUCUACUGCUGAUUACUAAAGAACGGAAAAAGGUAGAAACAAAGCUUUACUUUCCAAAGAAAGACAUUUGAUCCAAACUGGAGACAGCUGGGAUAGGCUCCAGCAUGCCCGCCACCCUCGUGAUGAUAAGCAGUGGAAAAUAAAUUAAUGGAUAAAC